rnacentral:misc_RNA from 1 species
GACUACUACAAAAAUAGGUGUGGCGCGCUGGCGCUAUCCAACCAACCAUAAAUGCUGCUCUGACACUGCCAAGUUGCUAACCAACUGAGAGAUCUGUCAGAAGUUAUUUUUCUAAAUUUUAUUUAUAAAAACUAGCUGAUAGCUGAUAACCGAUAAGCCUGAACCAUGGUGAUUAAAGUGUAUAUUAGUGGAAUUUCAGGAAACAAGGAGGUGAAAAAAAGACAACAAAGGGUCCUAUUAAUUUUGGACUCGAAAAGUGUGAAGUAUGAGGUGCUAGACAUAGCAGAGCCAGGGGCUGAGGAAGCCAAAGAUUUCAUGCAAAAUAAGUCUACAGGUUCAGGGGGCACAAUCAGUGAUCCGAAUCCCAGGCACCCUCUUCCACCUCAGAUAUUCAAUGAUGAUGAGUACUGUGGGGAUUAUGACAUGUUUGAUAUGGCCAACGAAAUCGAUGAAAUGGAGAAGUUCCUAAAGGUCGAACCGAAUUCCCUAGGAGAACAGACAGCCACAGCAGAGGUACAACUUAAAAAUGGCGAUAUUUCAAUCGAUGAAAAAAUAGACAAACUUGUUGGCAGUGGAACCGGAGAAGAGGAAUCGAAAGAGAACGAAGUGCCUAAUGACCAGGAAGCCAAAGAGGAUAAGGAUUCUGAAGAUAAAAAAGAGGAAUCAUUAGAGAAUGAAGACUCAGUAGAUAAAGAAAAGAACGAAGAGUCUACUGAAAAAGAGGAAACAAAAACGGAUGAAUCGGUUAAAGACGAAAAUGAAGGUGAAUCUGAUAAAAAAGAGGAUUCAAAGACAGACGAAUCGGUCAAAGAUGAAAACAAAGAUGAAUCUGGUGAAGAGCAAAAGAAAGACGAAUCUAACAAAGACGAAACUCAAGAUGAUCCAGAUAAAGAUGAAUCUGGCAAAGAAGGAAAUAAAGAUGAAUCUGGCGAGGAGGAAAAGAAAGACGAAUCUAGCAAAGAAGGAACUGAAGAUGAUCCAUCUAAAGAUGAAUCUGGCAAAGAGGAAAAGGAAGACAAAUCUAACAAAGAAGAAACUGAAAAUAAAGGGGAGUCUGAUAAACAAGAAAAUAAGGGGGAAACAAUUAAAGAUGAAGAAAAAGACGAGUCCAAAGUUGAAGAAGAAAAUAAAGAUGAAUCUGAUAAAGAAAACAAUAAGGACGAAGUUAAAGAAGAAACUAAGAAGGAAUCUGUUACAGACGAAGAGAAAAAGGAAUCUGUUACAGAUAAAUCUACGGAAGAAGAAAAAGAUGACGUCAAAAAUGAAAACGAAGACAAUAAAGAAGAAAACAAAGACGAGUCUGUUAAAGAUGAGUCUAAGGAAGAAAGCAAAGAUGAAUCUGCUAAAGAUUUAGCUGCAGAAGAAAAUAAAGAUGAAUCUGCUAAAGAAGAAAAUAAAACAGAUGCAUCUACGAAAGAAGAAAGUGAAGAAGAAUCUGAUGAAGAAUCUGUCGAGGACGAAUCUAAAGAAGAACCUGUAAAAGGUGAAGAUAAGGAAGAAUCUACGAAAGAGCAAAGUAAAGAAGAGCCUGUAAAGGAGGAAUCUGUUGAAAGGGAGGUAUCGCCAGAAAAAGAAACGGAAGAAGAAACUGCGCAAGAGGAACCAGCAGAAAAUACAGAAACAAUAGAAAAAGACAGCGAAGAUACAACACAAAAAGAGGGCUCUGUCGAGAAGGAAGAAGCUACUAAAGACGAUGAUGUCGACGAGAAUGAAGAGGAAGACGACAAAGAAGAUGAAAAAGAAACUUCCCCCGAAAAGUCUGAUGAAUAAAUAUUAGGAUUAUACAAAGAAACGCACUGAUGACCUAAUUAUAAGAAAUCGAAACACCAAAAUGAUUUUCAAAUUCGUUAUUGUUUUGCCCUUUUAUUUAAAGUUGUUUACAACUUUUUUGAGUCCUUUUAGACAGAAUUUUAAUCUAAUUUAAUCGUGUUUCAGUGUAUUACUAACUCAAAUAGGUAUAUCUAGAAAUUAGGUCUUUUUGAGUCCCAGCAAUUGUGGAUUAACUCGUUGAAAGUAACUCUUGCAUUGAAUUAUAUUCCUUACAGCAUUAAAAUCCGGUAAAUCUGAAUAAUUUUAAGUAUUAACACUUUCAAAUUCCUUGGUCCUGAAUUGUCGUAUGCCAUAUAUGUUUUCUGUGGGUCAUAUAUGGUUUACGGGAAUGAUUUGUCAUCGUCAUAGGACUAGACAUAACUAGCAACUGUUUUUGUAGCAACUAUAUUUUUUUAUUUGAAAUUUUCAGAUUUUUUGUAAAAUAAUUGACUAUAUAAAGGCUGGUAAACUGUUUGAAGCAGGCUGGGUGAACUGUCUACAAAAUUUUUAUAGUAGGGAGCACCAAGAUUCAUCAUUUAUUGAUCAUACAGAAAUUCAUCAAUUAAUUAUUGAUAAAAUAAAUUAUCCGAAUUAUCGUGGGUCAUAUAUGGCUUCCGGGCUAGAUUCUUCAUUGUGAUACGACCGUUUGUGACCUCACCUGGACUAGAUAUAGUUAGCAACUGUUUAUUUCUCAUAAAAUCGCAUAAGAUAUCACAAGAAAACAAGUAGUUUUUUAUCUGGUUUUAAACAUGUCUGUAUAAUCUCGGCAUAACCUUAUUUGAGUUAGUAAUUUAUACAUUUUAUUAAAUUAAAAACAUUUUUUAUUUUUUGAAGUUGUGCUUUUACAAAAUUGUAUGACAGUUGACGUGACAUCUAAAAAUUACCUUGAAGAUUAGGACUGAUAUAAAACUGGUGUAUUACCCAAUGUGCUGACUGUGGGUCUGUAGUAAAUGUCACAUUGCUGUUAAAAACGCUCUACAAUAACAAAUUGUAGACUUUCUAGUGCUAUUUGAACACCAUCAAAAGCUUUUGAGAAGGUUUGGUAUGACAGUUUUAUGAGCAAAGUACAUAAAAUUAUUCGUAUGCCAAACUAUUUCAGUCCUGUCUUGACUGAUAAUUGAAAUAAUAGGUCUAGUAUUAAGAUUUGACAAAAUUGGAAAACUAGAUGCAACAAGGACCUGUUUUGGAGCCCAUCUAGUACCUUAUUUAUGUAAAUUUAGUUGCUGAUUCUUCCAGGGUUUUCUAUGUUAUGAACUCUCAUAAUUUUAGUACUAGCACACAAAACCAACUAACCAAUCGUGUGAUAUUUGUGUGGUGAAAUAAAACAAGUAAAAAAAGACUUUCCAAUCAGUUUUUAUCAUGAAAAGUAUACUUAAGCUUUGAAUUCUACUUUUAGGGUAAUCUCAUUUUUUAAUUUAAUAUUUUAAACUAUUUUUGGAUAGCAUAUUUACUAAUGCUCGCUUAGCUUUCGAUAAUCAACAUUUUAGAGUCAUCUUCAGUAUUAAUUUAGUCAGAGGCUCAGCGAAAUAAGCUCUCUUUACGCCGUUUUCAGUUUUCUACGCAAUUAAGAUGACAAUAUAACUGCACUUAUUCUAAAUGGUGUUGUUUUCAGUUUAUUAAGCUUGAUAAAUUCUGCGUGAUAUGAGCCAUGUGUAAAGUGUGAACUGUGUUUUGUCCUUCAGAAAUUGUAGUCCUUAUCAGAUUACAGUAUUUUUGGACAUAUAAAUACACCGCGCUUCAUAAGCACAUAACUGGAACAUGAUUCCUAAAAAGGCGUCGAAAGUUUGACACAGCAAAAUUCACGCAGUAAAAAGUUAUAUUCGUCAGAUUUUUCUUUGUGAGAAGAAAAUUGAAGAAAAUGAGUAUUAAGUGAUGUAGAGAAAACUGAAACGGCGUUGAAAAACAAUAUGGGUUGUUUUAGUACUUUUUGGUGUUUCUUAUUGCAAAUGUCAUAAUAUUUAUUCUCGCCUAAAAUCGUUCCUUAUUUAUUUCUUAUCAUCUUAUAUCAUAGUUAUAUUUCAUAUAGAAAUCUUUGUAAAAGCGCGGUUAAAAAUAGGAGACUGUCUGAGAAUUGCUUCUUUCUUUAAACAUUGUAGAAAUGAUGAAAAAGUAUUUUUCUAGUUCAGUCGAUGUUGUACAGUUCAACUUAAACAGUGUUUUCGAUAUAUAAAUUGAAAGAAUAUGCAUAACAAAAACGUAUUGUUCCGUACAAUAUAGAUACCGUUGCACGCCUAUAUCUACGUCAGAGAUCUGAGUCGACAUAGUUGCCCAAUUACAGAAAAUUCUUGAAUUAAUUUUAAAUCAAAUAUAUCACAUAAUUUUUGUGCAAGUGGAUUAUACAACAAAACAAAUUAAUAUUUAACGUACGUAAAUAAAUAUAAAACAAGAAUUACGUUAUAAUCUUACUUUAAAGUAAAUAAUAAAAACAAUAAAUAUAAUAAAGCACUGUCAAAUAAAUGUUACCAAUUUAUGCCAAAAUGUCACCUUUGUUUUGUUCGAUCGCCGUUAGAGUGUAAUCCGAACAAGUGUGCUUUGUAAACACGCUUUAUAUCCCACUUAUACAAAUUAAAUGAAUUAAGUUAGGGCAUGUUUCUUUAAAUUUAGAUUAAUAGACAUCUUCCAAUAUUAUUUCUAUGCGAAUAUAAUAAAGUAUGUCUAGUGGCUGUAAUUCCAGUGUAGUCGGCUAAACGAUUCUAAAAAGGAACAUACCUACCACUUAAAUAUUUCGUAUUGGUAUCAUGUGACGUCACGUGCUAUGAUGCGGAUGACGUGCAACGGUAUCUAUAUUGUAAGGACUGUAUGACAAAUCUUCCACUUAAUAACCAUAGUGACCGUCGAUUUUUGACAGCUCACUGUCAACUCCACGUGAAUCAGCUAGAGUAAUAUUUUUAUUAAUCUAUUCAAAUAUAUCAAAUCAGUUCCGUUUAGACUGUAUUUGAUGUUAUACCAAAAUUGUAAAAGUAAGAUAAUCAUUUUGUGAGUUGAACUGGUGUGGUAUAGAGGUACUGCUUUGAUCAAAAUAUUGUUGCAUAUGAUAUAUGUUAACUGUUAUAUCUUAUUUUGGAUUUUGUAAAUAUUUAUUAUAUCUUUUAUGAUCUAUUUCAAAUAAACUAUCAUUUUCUUUUCA